CCUGAUCUUCCAUCCAGCAAAGAAGCUCUGCCAGAACAUCGCUUCCAAGACUAUUUCAAUGCCGAAAACAAGAACAUGGAAAUCAAUUUUUCCCCAUCUCAGUUAUGGCUGGGAAGCCAUCACUUUCAGCUCAGCUACAGGAUUAAUCUACUGAAGAGUUAGCAGGAGUUUUGCUGACAUGUGCACAGGCUGCUCAUCUGAGUCACCAACAACUGGAAUCUCCUCCUCCCUCAGACCAUGUGCUCAAGCUGGCUUUAAAAAAGCCCCUCUGUAGCAG
rnacentral:lncRNA from 1 species